rnacentral:rRNA from 1 species
GGAAACAGGUGCUAAUACCGUAUAACACUAUUUUCCGCAUGGAAGAAAGUUGAAAGGCGCUUUUGCGUCACUGAUGGAUGGACCCGCGGUGCAUUAGCUAGUUGGUGAGGUAACGGCUCACCAAGGCCACGAUGCAUAGCCGACCUGAGAGGGUGAUCGGCCACACUGGGACUGAGACACGGCCCAGACUCCUACGGGAGGCAGCAGUAGGGAAUCUUCGGCAAUGGACGAAAGUCUGACCGAGCAACGCCGCGUGAGUGAAGAAGGUUUUCGGAUCGUAAAACUCUGUUGUUAGAGAAGAACAAGGAUGAGAGUAAAAUGUUCAUCCCUUGACGGUAUCUAACCAGAAAGCCACGGCUAACUACGUGCCAGCAGCCGCGGUAAUACGUAGGUGGCAAGCGUUGUCCGGAUUUAUUGGGCGUAAAGCGAGCGCAGGCGGUUUCUUAAGUCUGAUGUGAAAGCCCCCGGCUCAACCGGGGAGGGUCAUUGGAAACUGGGAGACUUGAGUGCAGAAGAGGAGAGUGGAAUUCCAUGUGUAGCGGUAAAAUGCGUAGAUAUAUGGAGGAACACCAGUGGCGAAGGCGGCUCUCUGGUCUGUAACUGACGCUGAGGCUCGAAAGCGUGGGGAGCGAACAGGAUUAGAUACCCUGGUAGUCCACGCCGUAAACGAU